AACUUCCGAUAAAGGAGAUCUCGAUUCACGCAUUGAUGAAGAGUGCAACGAGUUACGAUACUUGGUGUGAACUCACCAUCAAUUCUCUAAACGCAAGUUUCGUCCGAAGCUAUUAGGUUGAGGGCAUGUUUGCCUGGGCGUCA
rnacentral:rRNA from 1 species